GGGGGCGCAUGUUCUAAGGGCAAGCGAUCCUCUCUCGCAAAGAGGAUGCUGUCGGUUCGAUUCCGACCGUCUCCA
rnacentral:tRNA from 1 species